CUGGUUAAAAACACAGCAGCCAAUAAUUCAGUUAAUUUACCAAGUGAUUUACCCUUCAAAGCUGCAGGGGUAGCUUUCCUGAAGAGUGCAAAAACUUCUUUAGCUUUCAAAACAGUAUAUAGUACAAACAGUGAAGCUAAUAUAGACAAAUCUGAUCAUUCAUCAUCAACAAUAACUGCAUCUGAGAAUUAUAGUUCUACAGUAACCGUGGGGUCUAGGUCAACAAUUACUAUUUCUCAUCCAAGCCGUUUUUGUUUAACUGCUACACAUUCCCUGACUCUGCCAAGGAAAAGGGCAAAAUCAAAAUGAUAUCCUGAGGACCUAAGCACUGAUGAUUCCACCGUUUCAAAAGCUAAAUCACUUGUCACCAGAUUAUGGAAAAAAAAUAAAGAACAAAAAAUUAAAAUUCGAGGAUUGCAACAAGCAAAUUUGCGCCAAAGAAAUUGAAUUAGAUGUCUCAAGUCA